rnacentral:rRNA from 1 species
GUUUGUCAGCUAGCAUCAGCCUGUAUACAGUGAAACUGCGAAUGGCUCAUUAAAUCAGUUAUCGUUUAUUUGAUAGUACCUUACUACUUGGAUAACCGUGGUAAUUCUAGAGCUAAUACAUGCUAAAAAUCCCGACCUCUGGAAGGGAUGUAUUUAUUAGAUAAAAAACCAAUGCCCUCGGGCUCCUUGGUGAUUCAUAAUAACUUAACGAAUCGCAUGGCCUUGCGCCGGCGAUGGUUCAUUCAAAUUUCUGCCCUAUCAACUUUCGAUGGUAGGAUAGUGGCCUACCAUGGUUUCAACGGGUAACGGGGAAUUAGGGUUCGAUUCCGGAGAGGGAGCCUGAGAAACGGCUACCACAUCCAAGGAAGGCAGCAGGCGCGCAAAUUACCCAAUCCCAAUUCGGGGAGGUAGUGACAAUAAAUACUGAUACAGGGCUCUUUUGGGUCUUGUAAUUGGAAUGAGUACAAUUUAAAUCUCUUAACGAGGAACAAUUGGAGGGCAAGUCUGGCCCCC